AUGGGGUAUAUUAUGCCAGCUAAGAGUUGCCAAAAGGCCUGUGUGAUUGCUUUCCCACAAAGAAAAGAGGCCUUGUGUUUCUGUGGUGAGAAACGGGCCUCACUGUGGGAGAAGAGGGCUCAGGCAGGACUGGCAGUAAUCGGUCACAGCGUCCUUGGGACAUUGCUGGUCUCUGUGCCCUCAGCACUAAUGCUGGAAACCCAGCAUGAACCAGGAGCUGCGUUGCCUGCACUGGGGAUAUCUGAAUUAAAUGAAUUUCUCCCAACUUCCAUGAGCACCUCCAGGCUUCCAUGGAUGCAGGGCAAUGGAGUGCCCCUGCUUCUAGUGGUCCUGCAUCCAUAACAGUGUUCACCCUGGUGUUAGCAGCUGCACACAUCUGAGUGUGGAGCUCUCCCUUCCUAACCCCCAUUGCAACUGUGAGCCUUCCAUUGGACAAGUGAGGAUGAUGAUGCUGUUCAUCCUGCAGCUUUAGACCUAUGUUGAAGCCACAGUAAAGAGCCAUUUUAAGUUCUGGCAGUUGAACUGAGUUUCUUACAGUGUGAGAUUUCUAACAAGAAGCAGUUGAUGUUUUGAACUGCUGAAAAGCCCAGUUUGGGGAAUUUUCCUUCAGGAGGGAGUGGUAGUGCUCUCAGAGUACGGUUCUAGCAUUGCACAGGCAUCUGGACUUGCAGAGAAAUUCCCAAGAGUCUCCUGCUUCUUGUGCCAAGAUCACUAACAAAAACGAAUGGAGUGUCAGGAGUUUUCCCUGAAGACUGCUGCUUCCAGUGCUCUGGUUAUCAGCUUAUCAGCAGCCUUUUAAUUCUCAUUCUGCCGUAGCGUAGCAGGUCAUACGCAUUUUGAUCUUAGCCUCAUGCUUUCUCUUACGUGCACCCCUGCUGCAUUUUGGAGAGUAGUUCUAUUUGGGGAAGACUGUGAAACUCUGCUAAGCUAUCAGAGGAAAGAAGACCUGAGGAAGAGAAGUGGGAAGAAUUUAAGCACAAGAAAGACAGAUGUGAUUACUUUUCAUUAAUUAAUCUUGUUGUGUACAGUAUAUUAGAAGACAUAUCAGUGCAUCAACUUCAGUUAUAUUUCCAGUCUGAAAUAUUGAAAUUUUCUUUGCCAGAGAUAUCCAGAAAUAAUCUGCCUUUUUUUUUUUUUUUUUUUGGUCUAUACAAUUUUCAUUCAGGGGCUAGAGGAUCACAGAAGGACUCCUGCUUUGUUUGCAAUUAGUAGUCAGUCAGCUUAUAGUGGAAGUGCUUGUUUCAUUCUUGCACUUCAGGGUAAUAAAUUUUAAUGUGCUUUUGAUAUUUUGGGCUUCAGGGUCAUUCAAGUCAGGGCCAUCCUCCUUGAGCUUCUUCUAUACUGGCAGAGUUUCCAAACUUUGUCAGUAGUAAAUAACACUUUUUAAAAGGUAAAUAGUAGUGAAAAUAAACGUAAUCCCGAACGCUUUCUGUUAAUAAUGAAAAUAACAAGUAGCUUCAUGACUGUUGUUCUCAGUGUUGCUGUCACCAAAGUAAUUCUGUAUUUCUCUGUUAUCAAAUAAAAAGGCUGGGUUUAAAAAAAAGUGAGCAUGUCAUAUUGCUCGUUCUAACAUCUUUCCUUCAAAAUCCCUUGUGAAACACUGCAGACUACCUGAUCUGCUGACCCGAUUAAUAACAUUUCCAUUGAAAGAACAGGAAAGUAUUGUGUUUAUUCCCACUUAUGUGGUAUUGUUCUUUAUUUCAUAAUUCUUAAAAUCUGGUCUACACAACUUGAAAUUUCAUGGGUCAGUUCUCCUUCAUACUUUGAUUUUCCCCGUAACUUGAGUAAUGUGCUAAAAUUAUUGAUUGGCGUGGAUCCGUAACUCCCCUCUGAAUGUUUGUAUCAUUUCUUUACCUGGUUUUGUAUUUCCCAGCUGUCAGCUGAGCUGAAUUUCCUUAUGAUUCUGUCUGUUGAGGUGUAGGGAAAGAGAAGCUUCUGAUCUCUCUCCUUUUAAUCUGAUUUUAUUGUUCCUUUGCUGUCUCCUUUCUGGGUGAUUAAUCUCACUAUUUUAGCCUUCGAAGAGCCUUUCCAAGGGCUUGAUUGUUCUUAGAACCCGGAGGACUGCAGCCCCUAGUUUUAAAACACCUCCUUGGAAAUGGCACGACCAGUUCUAUCCAGAAUAGCAAGGUGAUGCUCAGCAGUUAUUAUAUACAUAAUAAUUCAGGUAGCUGUGUAGUUUGUCAUGUGGCCAACAUUUUGCAGUGAUGAAUUGAGCAGAGAUCUUUACUGAAUUUCCUGCAAUAUUCCCAGGUCCCUAUCGUGGCUUGAUUAAGCUAAUUGAGAGCCCAGCAAGUAAUUCGGCACCAUUAAUAUGCACAAACUUACCAACUUCGCAUUUAGCUUAUCAUGGAUGUGAAAAAUUGCACAGCUCUGAUCAGAAUUAAGUUAUUUGCCCACACUGGGCUAAGACAUCAGCGAGUCUUGAAGUGCUGGUUUAGUGCAGUAUUUUUGGUCUGUGAAAGUCGUAGUUAUUUUCCUAAUGGAGGUAGUGGAAAGACUUUGUUGACUAGAAGGGGCUUUGGAAUGGAUAUGUGGAGAGAAAAUCAGCUUCUUUCUCUAAGUGGAGGAGGAGGAUCUUUCAUUAUUAAAGCAGAGGUGCCAGCGCUCAGAUUUCAAGGCAUAGUUUUAAAUUCCAGUGGGUUGUUAAAUGAGAUUUUUCUGCUGACGAAAAUUUGCAUAGCUGUAUUGCAGUGCAAAUUCUUGCAACUUAUUUCACCCGUGGGACACUGUGGCAGAAACCAGGAAAUAGUGUUGUUACAGAAAUACCUCCCAGUCCUAUUACCUCUGCGGUUGCACGCAACUGCUGUAUCUGCGCGAGAUGAAGAUUAUGUGGAUAACUAGAACUUUGCAAGAAACAUAUCCAUAUUCCUGUUCUUCUACUCUAUUUUCAUUUUGGCUGUGUAAUACUAACUGAAUUCUUUUGGCCUUGUUUUUGAGAUCAUAUAAAAUAUCUGGAUAACUGGGGGGCAUCCCAGUGGCAAAGGCAUGGUGUAAGAAUGUCGUUGUCCAGAAGUCAAGAUGUCUAAGAUAGGUUUGUGAAGAUAAGUGGAGUGCCAUAGGGUCAGGGCUGUCUGGUGUUACCUGGUGAUGGUCAUGUUAAGUUGCAUCAGUAUAGAGUUCCAGUGGCCUCGCCUGUUCUAGUCCUGUAACAAACUUGCCCUACUUAAAAUAUUUGUAAGCAUUUAUUGAGGAUGCAGAAAAGGAAGAACAGUUAAAAGCAUUGAAACGUAAAUGUCAAGUAAAGUAUUUGCUUGAAUAACAUCCCUUAUUAUUUUUUCUUCAAAUGGUAGAUGGAUUUAUAAAAGAAACCGUCUCCUCUCUGUCCACUAGCAGUCUUUUAGAUGAUACUGAAGGUUGGAAUAUUUGUCCUGGGUGGGGAAAAAUGUUGUUGAAUUGGUCUGGAGCUGUUUUAAGACAAAACGAGUGAAAUGCGUACAAAAAUGAGGAGAACACGGUAUCAAAGACAGAAACACAAGUUCUGUUUCUUUUCCUUUUCUGUGGAUUUUUAUGGCUUAGGUUGUCAUAGCAUAAGGCAGUGUUGGCUCCUCUGAAACCAGGCAAACUGAUGUUCAGGUUCUGUAGGCCAGCCAGUCAAUACCCACAGGUUUGAUCAUGACUGCUUUAUGGUAAUAACAGUGGUAAUGCAGCCAAAUCCCUUUGGUUAUACUUAGCAGCUGGGAAGAUAAAUGAGUCCUAUAUAACUACGAAUCAACUGCAGAAUGAUAAUUUUAGUUUAAUGUUUAAGCAUGUUUUUAAUGUUCCCCUUAUUGCAGUGUGUUUUCAGCAAAGCUGGAAGAUGUUGCAAAUACAACGUUGGGGUGUUGUUUCUAAAUUGAUAUCAUUAAGAGCUGGUCUGAUUAGUGCGAUUAAUGUCAGCAUGUUCCAAAGAAGGGGAGGGUUCUGUUUUUCAGGUUGGCUUCCCGUGUAUGCUCUUAAUUUGAAGUUGUGUGAAUACAUUUUAUAUUUUCUGAAUACAUCUGUCACAUCUUACCUUAAUGGUGACAGCAUAUCAUACCACGCUGUGUUUCUGUCUUACCGUAGCUACACUGGUGUCUCAUGAAUACUCCUGCACAAAGGCUGCUGCAGGUAGCGCAGCUGAGUGAGUUCCUGUCUGACUCAGACGCCUCUAGCUCAGGCUUUUACCUCUGCAAUUUAUGGAAAUUUUCCUCCUGCCACAUUGUGGCCAGGUUGCAGCUAACCUCAUGUCCAUUCUCAGGGUGGGAGGAAGAAUGCCAGACAACCCUUACUGUGUCUGUGCAGCAGGAAAGCAUUUUUGCAAGCCUGAAGAGGAGGGAACUGUUAUGUGGUGGGAAGCACUAAUUGCUUAGGGGAAAGCAAGGUAAGGUCUGGCCGCAGCUGACCACGCAGAGCGAAGCUUUGAACCCUUUGCCACAGCACUUCUUUGCCUACAACACUGGUAAUGUGCUGUUGAAGUACAGUCCUUUAGAUGUUGAAACAUUUUCUGUGUAUGUCUUCUCAAGCUGUUGCUCAUCUUCUGUGAUCCCUCUACCACUUGUGCAGCUCCUCUUUUUUUUUUUUUUUUAACUGGUUUAGUCAGUUGCUUCUGGUAAAGCCCCAUACUUCAGCCCUGCCAGUCAAGAGAAGGCCGACUUUUCUGUGUUAACUCAGUUUGUCUGCCUCCUUAUGUCUACUUCUGUCAGCUCUGAGCUGAACUUUAAACAAUUCUUCCCAUUAGUACCCCUUCCCAGUUUUCUCCACAGCCUUUAUGGGUUGUUCAUGCUGUGCUUGUGCUUUUCCUUUUCUAACUUAAUCUUACUUAGAAAGAAGAAUCCAGUUGAUUUGCAGUAUUACAAUCUGUGCUGGAAGCCAGGAAUACGUUAAUUCUGACUGCAGUACUGGCUACCCACAUCUCGCUGGUUCUUUAGGAAAUGAUAGAUAUCAAUAUAUGGAGUUACUUUGUUGAGAGGCCUACAGUUUUGCAAAACACUUAAGAAUGUGCUUGAUGUGAAAAAUCUGUUUAUCCAGUUGAAAGCAGCAAGGUGCUUCAUGUUAUUAAAGUUAAAGCACUUAAGCAUAAGUUUAUCAACCAUGUAUACGUUCAGACUGGGUAACAGAAGAGGGUUAUUUUCUAUUUAAAUCAGCAAAUAAGUGGCCUUUUAAAAAUUGGAACAUUCUUUUAGAAGGAAUUAUGGGCACCAGUCAGCCCAUUCGAAGGUGGAUCUUGUCUGUGAAGACAAGAACACAGUUGUGGAGCUUAGUUCUGUAUUUCCAUUUAAGCCCAAGGUGGACGGUGCUUUUCUUUUACUAUUAUUUAAAAGUGUAUUUUUAUUGAUGCUCAUUGGCAUGCUGCUGUGCUGUUAAACACAGUACCAGAAACUAAUAAAAAACAUUGCUCUGGGUUGUAGACUUAGGCAAGAGCUGAGGUGUGGUUUCAGUGUCUGCCUUGCUGAACCAAGGAGAUAAAUUGUACACGUGUCUUUGGCUGGCAUGCUUUGCUUUGUUAUCUGUACAGGGUAGGACAAUGACUCUUCCCGUUCCCAGUCAUGCAUGGCAUAAGAGCCCAGAAGAAUUACCCUAGUGGUAGCUCCUUAAAUAAGCAUCCAGCCAGGUUCAUGACUGAGCAUGAAGUUUCUCAUGGUUCAGAGUUCAGUGUUACAAGGGAAUAAAAUACUUCUCACUAAAUAAUAGUGGGAACACAGUAGGAGGCAUUUUGUUGAGGGCAUACAAGCUAUUGUCCUACCCUUGCCCAGAAAGCAACAUACGUCAAACAGAAGAUGUCUUCCUUACAUUCUAGCUAAAUCAAUGUUAUUUCUUCCAGAAUACUGCUGCUUCCAUUCCUGGAGAUAAAAAAACAUAGCUCACUGUCAGAUAAUUCUUCCUCUUGGGCUUUCUGUACUUGACCAGUGGUUUUUAGUUUUGUUAGAAAAGGAAGACUUUCGUUAUCCCCGGAAGAUUAAAUUGCCUUGCUGGCAAAUCUGGUUCAUUGAAGAAAGAGAGGAGGAAAAAAGCAGAUAGGGAAGAAAUAGAAAAGAAAAUAAUUCAGGGUAUCUUUAUAGUCUCCUAUUGUUAGGAUGUCAAUUACUAUCAUAUAUCACCUAUACCACAAACUUGUCAUACCUGAUGUUAUUUUUUCUUUUUUUUUUUUUUCCUUCAACUAGUAGGAAAUUUCUCAAUUAUCCAUAGGAUUUUUUUGUUAUUAUUAUUAUUGUUGGUCUCAUCUUUAAAAUAUAGCCGUGAUGCUCAGAGAUUUAGUUUUUAACACCCAGUUGAGAAGGAUGAAUAUUAAAGGAUCAUAGUUUUCCUAUGCAGUUCUGCAUUCCAUGGAAAUGAUUGCAGAAAAUAGUGCCCUUUCCCACUUUUUUUAUAUGGUACUGCUCUGUUUCAAAUGCUGUUACCUCACACUACAGAACUGCCAAGAAUGCUAGAUUAAGCAGUGUAUUCCAUAACCGUGGGCUCUGAUUUAACACUGUAACACCCCUUUUGAUGAGUGCAGAGUGUGUUCAGUUACUGUAAACAUGGGCUUUCCAAAAUGGGCUAUAGGAGUAGAAAGAAGGUUAAUGAACCAGUUACUGAGGAGAAGAAAAAAAGCUUCUCUAAUUGACAAAAAGGUCUGCAGGGAGUCAGCUAGAUUGCAUGCAGUUGAGGCAAGCAGGCUGUGGUCUGUGAUCUUGGACAGUGGUUAGUUAUUGAUGACUGUAUUAGGCGUUCUGAUUCUGAGAGACAGCUGCAGUGUGCUUAGCUCUUAGCAGUUGUGGGGUUGGAUUUUUUUUUUUUUUUUUUUUUUUUGCUUCCACCAAAAUCAGACCUUCAGGGUACCAAGAAUUACGGGAAGCACAUAGUCUCAGUACAUGUCAACUUGCUAACUCUAGGUACAGAUCUUCCCUUUUCUCAGUGAUGUGAGAACAAGAGACUGAUGUCCCUUGGAGAGCAGGUAUUCACCCCAGCCCUGGAAGGACAGGCCAGAUCCACCACUACACCCUGGUAGUGCUUGUUUGACCUUCCUAGAGCAGCUCCUGUCCCAGAAGCUCUGCUUUCAAGCUCCAGGAUUGACUGUGGCCACAGAAAGUUUGUCAGAAGGGCCACUGGCUCUCUCAGGGAACAGAAGACAGAGGGUAGAUAAUGAGCAGAGCUGAAAGGUGAGAGGUGUCUUCUAGUUCAGCUCUGUCUUGGUCAAGUUCUUGAUCCUUCUUGAUCUACCUAGUUCUUAGGUAGAGUCAGUUCUCGUUUUCCUUUCAAUUACAGCUCCAUCCUACUUUUCUGUCCCUUCCAGCAUGGGGAGUUUAAUCCUCUCUCAGUUCUAUUUCAGUUGUGUUUUUUUUUUUUCUUUGCUUUCAUGACUCAGGACUUUUUUUCCUCUUUUCCUUCAUGCUAUGUCAUUUCUUCUGGCUGGAGUGGUGUCCUCCUUUUCUGAAAGGAAACAUCAACCCUGCAGGAGGAUUAAAGGAGACUUUUAAAUAAAUUCCUAUGGAGCCUCUACCCCUUGUGAAAACUGGAAGAAAAUGGCAGUGAGUUUCAAUUGUAGCGAGCUUUAUUUCUGUACAGUAUAAUGUAAUUCAUAAUGUUAUCAAUAUCUAUAAAAGCAUAAAGAAAGGAUGGCAGUAGGAGUUACAAAGAGAAAACAAAAAACACAGACAUAAUAAAAUCAGAAGUCUUAUUAAACUUCAAAACACUGUAGAAGAGGAGAAAGGAUUGGUCAGAACCACAAAUCAGAGGCUAUUCUGGAAAAAAACAACUCUGUAAAGAUACAAAAGUGAAGAUGGAAGAUGAAGCCCCCUCGAGCCAGCAAAAGAGAAGCUCACCUAAGCCAGUUCUAACUGAAUAGUUUAGGAACUGGAGAGAGAGAGAAUGCUUGGCAAUUUUGGCUUAUAUUGUGUGCAGAAAGAAAACAUAAUCACAAACUUUCCUCUGGGUGAAGGGGAUCAGAGACGCACUGUCAAUUUGACUAUAUUAUUGAGACAGUGUUUAAAAAAUAAACAAACAACCCUGCAGCUUUCUCUUCAAAAUUCCCCACUGUAACAACAAAUAAAAGUAGUCCAAAAUUUAAAUCUCAAACAUCUCAAUCAGUCAAAACCUAGACAGAAUAAAGCAUGAUAGAUUCUUUAAAGUUAGUAAUUGUGUCAGAGGUGAGAUCGCAAGAUCUCUUCUCCUUUAAUGAACGUGAUUAAAACCAUGGGGCUUCCUUUCCAUACCACCUUGAGAAGCAAAUAACACAAUAGAGAACUGCAUCAAUAAGGUGUUAGGUGCUCCAUUCUUAGUUCACCCUGCAUUUUGUACCAACUCCAGCUGCUGGUAGCAGGAUACGGGGCUGGGUAACUUCUGUCCAGUUCUCCGGAGUGGAGACGUGUCUGCCAGCAGUGGGGAGCUUCAACCUGCGGCAUGGGCACAAUGCCUUGAAGGCUUACAGUUGUUUGCUGAAAUAAAAGCAGAACUGAAUGAGAUUUUUAUGAGAGAGCAUCAAUAAGAUAAUGACAAGUUAUAGCAAGAGCUACACCGCGUUUAGUUUCUUUGUCGUAGGGACGGCUACCAUUAUUUUGCCCUGAAGACUAUUUUCAGGUUAUUAGAAUCUGCAUAACUUUGAGUGAGUUGCUUUUCAAGUUUAUUUUAUUGAGUCAAAUGAUAAUUUGCAUCAGUUCUCAUGUGUAGGAAUCACUGCUUCAUUGCAUAAUAAAUCUGUUUCCUUAAACAUUCUGCCUAAGGCCUGUGCAGCGUUAUGGAUCGUUACAUUUGAAAUAAGGAGCGCUUCUUCUAGUUAAAAAGACUAAAGAAGUGAUGAAGCGGGGGAAUCUUUCCUUGCACCUCGUGAGAUAAAGGUUGCUGUUUUCAUGUUCCCAGUUAACUGAACUGUUUUGACUCAAAGACAGACUCAGGUUGGGAAAUGACAAAGAAGCCUUGGACAAAACAGCGGAUUUCUGAUUUGAUUAGUAUUUCAGGUUGAUACUGAUUCAGAGUUGUUACUUCUACUUGGACCUAGCAGUAACUACUUGUUUUCUUUUGCUAGCAAAAUACCGGGCACUUAAGACAAAUCCAUGUUACUGAUAUUAGGGUAUUCAAGACUUUUUCCUCAUCAAAUAAGCGAAUUCUUGGUUUGGCUUUUCAAAACUCAGAUGUUUAAUUUCUCUUUCAAGUUUUCACAGUGCUAUCUUUGUAAGCUAAUCCAUUUGUAAUUUGGUUAAUUCCAAAUGUUCUUCUGCAGAAACAGGGAAACUGGAGAUACGAUACCUGUCCCAGGCUAGAGAAGUGAAGAACAAAAUCUGUGUAUGCUCCCUGGUUGGUCCUGGUGUGUGUCAGGGCUGUGUUGUCAACCCCACAGACCAAAAUGUAAUUCCCAGCUCGUGUGAUACCACCUGCUAAUAGGAACUGCUCUUGCAGAAUUCUGCUAGCCAUAAUAAGGUGCACAUUGUGUACAAAUAAAAACAGCUCAGCUUUAUUACCUGGCUUGCAUGCCUGGUAAUGAAUAGAAGGAAGGCUCACUCCUUCACGAACGGCAGAAUUUAAUAUAGUCUCUUCCUGGAGUUGCACCAGUGGGACUAAAAGUUUAUCUCAGCAUUCCAAGGGCAAUAAAAAUCUAAAUUUAAACUCAGAAUGUCUUACUGGGGCAAGAGUACCCAGAGGCUAUGUACUCUUCAAACUUUGUUUAGGUCAUAACUGCUUAUGUAAAGUUAGUUUAUACCAGCUAGUUAGUUUUUAUGUUUUUGAGCAGUAUCUUCAUUACGAAGGAGAGACAUAUCAAGUGGACGGGUUGCACAUGAAAGUUCAGCUCUGCUUUCCUACUGCCUGUAAUUUAGCUUCUUACUGCUUAGCGCAUAGCCAUGUGAAGAAAUCCCCAGCUCUUAACCUUCAUUUUACAUAUGCCUUUAAUUCUCUUCUGAUUCAUUCCCGUAGUUAGACAUCUCAGAUAUUUGGGGCUUAAGGUUCAUAUGAAAGGGAGAGGCGGAAAAGAUACCGGCUGAAGGCUGGCAGUAGCAGGGAACCUCCUGUUAGCUGGUCACGGACUGGGAAGACUGCGUGGUGAGAGUAACCAGAUGCUGGCCAGUGGGCUUUUAGUUUAGAGCUUUGCUGGCCCAGUGGUGGCUUGUUGUCUUUACCAGAGUGUUAAAGGAGGGGAUGGGAGGUGGAGAAACUCACUGCCAUUUCUGCAGCAUGAAUAUGAGUCAGCCAGGUUGAGGAAACCAACUGGAGGUUUUCAUGAGGUCGUAUAAAAGAUUUGGUAGCCAGGACAUCCGUCAAGCACUGUAUGAGAGUGUGAAUCGCUGCAGCCCGCUAAUCGCUAAGACCCUCAUGAGCCCUCUUUGUUCUGGAAGGGGUUUGACUGUUCAGUUUAGCCACCAGAAAGGAGAAGUGGACAAAAGGGGUGUGGGAGGGCGUCAUUUUGGUGAUGAAACCUGAGGGGAAGCAGUAUUCUCACCUAGUGCCCCUUGGUAGCCAUCUCCCAUCUCUGUGUGCAGCUCCCCUGUGCUAGGAACACAGCUGUGCUGCCACAAAGCAGGCAGGGGGGACAUUGAGCAGAGCUGUGUGCCACAAACACUUCCAUGAGUGUGGCAAAGCCUCAGCCUGACUUGGAGAACUGAAUGUUUUGAGUUCUGUCAGGACAGAUUAUCAACGUGGGCAGCCGUGGGAUGUGAAAUGUGCUGGUUGUAGGUAUUCCUCCUUUCCCUUCGGCUCAAGGUUAUGGGCUUCAGAUGUCUUGUGUGGCUCUAUUGCUCUCCGGUUGCAUAUCCUGAGCUUCUUUUGGGUUAGAGAAACAGCUGCUGUUGUGUGUCUGUGGGGAGUGCAGAACAGUGCAGGGGAGAUGGAGUGACAUUGGGACAUCUGGCCAGAAAACUGGCCCUUGUAGCCUCGGAGGGAAGUAUCAGAAAGCCUAGUGGUUGCUUUGGGAACGUUUACCUGUGCUGUGCCGACCACUGCGUUCUUUUCUUGGGUAGGCUUUGAAAAUGUCGUGUUUCCAGUAACACCAUGUGACAAUGACUUAGCUCCUUGCUGCUGUACAGAAAAGCUGAAAUCAAAACUCUGGUAAUGUACUUGAAGGUUUGGCUAUGCUUAUGUGUAUGCUAAAUAACUUCCUCUGACUUCGGUGAGAGAACCUGCAAAUUUACAAGCAUUGGAAAUUCUCACAGGUUCUGUGUGACUCUGGGUAAUCACUGAAGUUGUUUGUGAACAACACCAGCACAUCUGUUUACUCUGUUUGUUCAUUCUUUGAAAUAGUUGUGCUAUGGGGAGCACGCACAGUAUCUUUAAGGUAUUUGAUGUGAUGGCAAAGAUUAGGAAUUACAGUGAAUCAGACUAAAUUACAUAAACAUACCUCUUGUUAUUCAGAAAAGGUCAAAAAAUGUUUCAGUAUAUUGGAGGAAUAAUAUGCAUAUGAUGUAAUCUCCAAAACUGACAGCCUCUGAAACUAUGGACGAGUCUCGACACAAAGAAAAUAGUUGAAGAGAAAUCCUUGCCUUUUAUAAAUGUCGAGACAUAUUUACAAAUCACCUUAUGUAAGUCUCCUGAUAAAUGUUCACACUUCUUUUUGAAGCUUCCUCUUUUUCUGUCAGCUGCUGCUUUAUGUACCAUUUGUCAAUUUUGUCUGCUUUCCCAACUCUACUUAGAUUUCCUUUCAUCUUUUGAUACCUGCCUCACCAUGACUGCUGCAUCUUUCUAAUUUCCUACACUUUUUGCAUUUACUGCCAUUCAGCCAUUUGCAUUGCUAAUUUGUUUUUGCAGAGCCACACCAGUGUUUUCAUACAGCUGUAGCUGUUUGUUGGUUGGGCGCUGCAGUCCCCACCAGUCAGAUUUCCUGUGGUAGGCAGAUGUGUAGGAUUUCCUCUGAUGUCUGUUGUUGUCCAGGCUUCCAACCACCAGGGCCACAGCUGACUCAGCAUUCCUGAAAACUGAAAUUGCUGUGUGCUUUCAUCCUUUCCUUGAGUAUCCUGCUUCACACAUGCUAUAUUCAGAGGUUUUUGUUAGUUUUAAUAUAACAUUUUUCCAGGAUUGUUUGUCUUCACCACUCUGCCUGUGUAAGACAGCUUUCCAGCAAUGAGCAAACGUUGGCUGUUCUCAGGUUCUAUUUGUGCAUGUGUUGGUAGUAGUUACCACCAUGAUAGUAAAUAAAUAAAUAAAAAUAAUAAUAAUUUAUUAUUUAGUAGAGCUGUCACUUUUAACUACAGACAUGCUAGGCCCUUUUGAACAAAAUGUUGUUGGUUUGGAUUGUGUUAAGAUUGGAAACAUCUAGAUGUUCGUCCAAUCUUUCCCAAAUAUAUUUUGGUGUCUAUGAGAAAAAAAAGAUUUCUGUUUCUCUUUGUUCUCUCUUUUACGUGCCUUAUUUUUACUCCAGCUCUAACUGUAGGAGCUGUAAAAAUUACACAUUUUCAAAGCAAAUGAAACAUCAGUUACAGCCAUAUAAACUUCUCUGCGCCAUAGCUCCUUCCUUGAAAUUCACUGAAGACACCGCUUCUGGGAGCAAAAAAUGUAUUUGUUCUUUGUGGCACUUUGUUGUUUGGCUUCUUUGAAAGAGCUGGUUGGGGAGCUGGUUGUUUCUGAUGGCAAUAGCGGUUGCUGCAAUCUCAGUGAAGUAUCCAACUGUGGCUUUAAGGUGUAUAUGUGGCAUAAAUUGUAGCAUGAAUAACUUUUCUGUAAUACAUUAAACUUCACCCAUUUGUUUCACAAAGGCGUGUAAUUCUAUACUGUUUAUAGUUGGUAUCAUGAUCAAGUUCUCAUCCUUUCUGACUUGCAUGACUUGCAAUUACUUUUUGAAUUUCUUCUUAAAUAUUUUGUAGCCUUUAUACUGCAUAUUCUUCUCCACUGUUUCACUGAUUUAUUUUUACUCACAGGACCAACAGUUGCAGCUCCUUAUGUUUUCAGAUUUACUACAAAAGAGCAAACAUUUAGAGCUGUGCCAACACGACUAUGUGCAUCAGAAUGUCUGUUCACGUGUGCAGAGGCCUAGUUAAACACCCUACUAGCCACACGCAUGUUUUCCAGUACUACGUAGUGCCUGCUGAUCGUAUGCAGACAGGGUGCAAAGGUUGAUGCUACAAACAUGGUCCUCAGGAAGUAAAUAGAAAAGAUUAUUUCUUACUUGCCAUUAAAAAUCACAGAGCUACUAGAAAAGGAAAAAUAAUCAGCUUUAGUAUCUCUCCCUUUCUCUUAAAUAAUAUUAUAAUAAUUAACUUCUAAUAUGUAAGUUCUUUAUAGGUCAUUAGUGGUAAAACUCUGCAUAUAUGUGCCUGUUUCAGAAAACAAUUCAGUCCAUAAUCUCAUAAUGUUGAAUUCUACCUGGCAGGUUUAUUUGGACUUAAUUUCUUUUUCUUCUAAUGCUGUUAGCUUGAGAGUUAUGAGCCAGGCAUCAGCUGACAGCACCAGGGGAAGGAUAGGUAUUGGCAAUGGCAUAAAAGCCAAAGAGGAGAAAAAAGAAUAGCUAUUGUAGCAUUUAUCAGUAUUCUACUAAUAGUCUGCUCAGACACAACUCUGGAAUAAAAUAGACAUUCAUACUGCAAUUUCUUUCAAAGGUUGAAGCUAUUCAUCUGCAGGGUUACAAGACAAAAGUCUAAACCUUCCAGAUAUUAUAGCUUUUUUAUUGUAUUGUUAUAAUAAGAAAAAACACCUCAGAAACCAUUUCCUUAAGUGUAAAUAUUCCACCUCCAGUCUCUUUGGAGGGAAUGUGGAUGCAAGCAGCUGACUUUCCUAGAAUGCAUUUUAACAUAGUUGAUGAUUUUACAUGUGAAAAGAAAACCAACUAUAGCCAAACAUCUUGGACAGGUAAUGGAGGCAAGAGGCUUUUCAUUUUGGGCUUGAUUGACCAUUCAUUGAAAUAUACAGAAAGGCCGCUGUUGGUUUCCAUAUUUUUGUUACCGUCUUUUCAGUGAAGGAGCAUGGGUUAGUGUGGGCAACGAGGUAAAGAGAUGCUCCGCAAGAACUCAGCCUUUUUCACUGUAGAAGAGACACGAGCACCAGGGUGGGAAAGGAGUCUUCAGUCAAGUCUGAGUUUGGAAACUCGCUGGACAUAUUUCUGUGUGAAGAUAUCUGAGAGUAGAAGCCACUUUCUGAAGCCAUUCUGUACAUAGAUUUGUACUAAAAGCACUAGGGGACUGGAAUCAUAAUACAGCUAAAUGGGAUCUCCAGCAUCCAUCGAAGGUCUUUAGAGAUCCAAAAGUUUGAAAUCAGCUUCCUGUUAGGGGGAAAAAAAGAAAAAGGAAAAUGCUGAUCCUGGGCUGGGCUUGGAAGAAGGCCGUGCUCUGCCCUUGAUGCUGUUUGCACACUCCCCAGAUUACUUGUGACUCUUGUCAGCAUGGUGUCAUUGCCUCUUCUUCAGUCCAUUGUGAAUCAUGUGCACACAGCAGAGAAAGAACAGAACCCACCUCAGUCCAUGAACGGCUCUGAGCUGAACAACUACCCCUCAAGAAUACAGGAGAAGUUUAGGCACCGAAUUCUAAAACAAAAAUCCUAAUAACCUCCUUUAAUGUCACAGCUGAGCCAUUAGGGAGAUCCCACAAGAACCUCCUUGACUCUAAGGUUAGUACCUUAGAUUUGGGCCAGCAAAGCUCCCCAGGCACCUGAAGUGAUGCUUUUUCCUUUAAAGUAUGCUCAGGUCUUUACAGAGCUUGAGUACCUCGGCAUCUAACCCUGUAUGGGCCUGACCAAGCCCCACAAUAGGCUUUAAUGCCCAGUUCUCCUAUGGCAAAGUAGUAACCUCCCAUACAAUGGAACCACGAGCCAUAUGCCAAGGAACUUGAGCUGUUGGUUUUGAGACUAGCACUGGGAAUAGCACGUUGUGUCUAAUCUAGUCUGUUUGCCUGCCUCUGGGAGAACAGCGCAGCAGCAGCAGUGGUCUCUGUUGUUUUUGGGGUCCCUUUGUGAGACAAGUAACAUGGUACGGAACAGUUACAGCAAAUAAGGCCUGUGUUUGGAAAAGCUGGGAGAAUCUGCUUGGUUUUCGUACUCUGAUUCUGAAGGACUGCAGAAACCAAGAAAAUCUUCACUGCAGAGGAAAAGAACCUGAAACGUGGCAUGCUAAAAUGUGCCGGGCUGUUCUAGCUACUCUUCCCUCAGCCUUCUUCAGGAGACAAGUUACUGUCCCAGAAGGGGUAAUGUGUCCCACAGCCGUAAUGUAAUACUGUACGGCAGAGGUGGCAAGCUGGCUCUCCCUUGUAAGCAGAUGUGCUUCGAUUCCUGGGUCUAAAUAGAAAUAAGAGGGCGUGAAUGUUUUGACACACUUUCUCCUGAUUUGGCAUACUGUAUGAUUACAGCAUGGUACAGACUCCAGAGGAAAUCCAAAAUACACCUUCCUGUACAGGCACAAAUCUGACUGUCUGAUAAACUGUUCAUAUGGAAAGACAUGAUUUGCAUGGUUGUUCUCAAAGCCAGUGUGUGUAUUCAUUAGUGGAAGCAUGUCAGAUAGCGAAUGUCAGUAAGAUGCCUUUGAUAUGUUGGUGUCUGGAUAAUUUUUUUGACCAGCUGAAUGGCAUAUGUUUAAAUGUAAACAUCUGUUCUGUAUUUGUACAGUACUGUCUGUAUUUUUUAUAUUUUCCCUUGGCUAAGAGUUUGAUUGAAACCUGCGAAAAAAUUGAGAUUCAUCCCAUUUUUAAAGAAACACAACUUCUGUAUUAUUUCAGCAUGUGUCUAGUAUGUUUGUUUUCUUAUAUGGGGAAGGCAUUUAAAAAAGGAUAUAUUUUUUUUCCAUAACCAAACCAGACUCGGUUUCCAGGCAAAAUAAAGAAAUUGAUUUGCCUCUAAGUCUGUUAACUGAAAAGAAUGUUGUCCCUGUAAGAGGGAGUAAGUAACAGUUCUGUGGUAAUGACAGUGUAAUGGUUUUAUCCAGAAAGUUUUCUGAUGCAGUUAGAGAACUUGCCAUGUAAUUAAUGACUUAAUAAAGAAAUGAAAUAAUA